UACAGAGGUCCCAAGCGUUGUUCGGAUUCACUGGGCGUAAAGGGUGCGUAGGCGGUCGGGUAAGUCUGACGUGAAAUCUUCGAGCUUAACUCGGAAACUGCGUCGGAUACUAUUCGGCUAGAGGAAUGGAGGGGAGACUGGAAUACUUGGUGUAGCAGUGAAAUGCGUAGAUAUCAAGUGGAACACCAGUGGCGAAGGCGAGUCUCUGGACAUUUCCUGACGCUGAGGCACGAAAGCCAGGGGAGCAAACGGG
rnacentral:rRNA from 1 species